CCGUAUUUAGUAGUACAAGUGUUGCUUUGCGUUGUGCGGCGUAGCGGACACGGAAGAGGCGGGAAAGUAGGUUCGUGUAUAUAUAGUUGAUCCCAGUUCAUCCCUCGCCAUACCUGACCGCUCCCCCACCACACUACCACCACAGUACCACAUCGCCACGAGAGGGUAAAGGUCUCAGCCACCAACCAUGCGGCACCUCGUGUUUCUGAUCUUGUUGUGUGUGUGUGUUGCCCUCGCCGCCGCCCGUCCUUCGCCCCAAAUAAUUGUCGUUCUUCCGAGUGCAAUACCAAUACCCAACAUCAGCGAACUCAUUAGAAUGCUCAAGCUAACGGCCACGACAGAGGCGCCCUAAGGAGUGUUGGCCUGAGAAGUGACACGAAGCGAAAUAGAUCACAAGAAAAUGAUAAUAUAAUCAACGUGGCUUGGCUGGUCUACGUGUUUUGAACUGUUGAUACUUAUUACCUCAAGCUUUAUCUCUUUGUUAUUUGCAGAGGAAGGAAAAAAAAAAAAAACGUUCUCGUAUUCUGAAACGUUUGAUUCUUCCCUUAGGUUUAUUUCAAAGGUCGUAGAGUCAUAUAUAGUCAAUGUGGCUUGGCUGUUCUACGUGUUAUGUGUUGUUGAUGCUAAUUACCUCAAGCUUUACUUCUCUGUUAUUUUCUACUGUUUUUACGAAUCAAAAUAUGACAACUUGAUGUA